UCUAAUAUGGCAGAUUAGUGCGGCGGAUUUAAGAUCCCCAUAUAAAGUAAAACUUUUUUUAGAA
rnacentral:tRNA from 1 species